GCCCGGAUGGCGAAAUGGCAGACGCAACAGACUUAAAAUCUGUCACCUCAGGGUAUACGGGUUCGAGUCCCGUUCCGGGCACCA
rnacentral:tRNA from 1 species